CAGGCGCUAAGCCUGCACACAGUUGCUAUCUAGUGGCCAGAGGAAGGUAGUGGAAGCAUUUUUCACGGCUGGUUCUGUGCAAGACGGCUGUCUACGGUACAGGCAGGAAUCCAUUACAUAUAUUCAUACAAAUUGUUGAGGAACCCUGACCAAGUGCUUUGUUGCACCCUCGCUCUAUGGCCAUGGCCAGCAAGUCCAGAACCCCUUCUGGGCACAUUCUCACCCCAGUGCCACCACCAGCUCUAGAUGUCACAGCUCUGUGCAACCCCCCUGGCUGUUUGGCCUUUGUGCGGAGAAGGAACAUCCCUUUAGAGGUCAUCUCAAGCCUGUCAAAGAUUUUCAAGGGUCAGGAAGACCAAACUCCUCAGGUGAUGGAGACCAAGAUCUUCAAGAAAAUUAACCAAAUCUGCUUUGCAGACCUUCUUUGCCCAGAGCUCUUGGUGCUGCCAGUCUGUAGCACAACUUACAACAUGAGAAGGUGACCAGCUCAAUACUCUGUCAAAUCUGCAGCUGGUAGGAGUAAGCAAAUGCUGGAAUGCACCAGGACACUGAUUAAAAGGCCCUGGACAGGCUUCUGUGUGCUUCUCAUUCAUGUUUCAAGCAUUGCUCAGGUGUGGGAAUCAUCCUUGACUGAAGGCUGGAUGAAGUGCAGCUGAAUGAUGACUGGCAGCAAGGCAGGUGAGACUUUAGUUGACUGCAAUUUACCGGGAUAGGUUGAAACCCACCAGGGUAUAAAGAAUAGCAGAGGCCCCUUCUGAACCCACUACAGUCACUAAUAUAGAAACCUUAAUAACUCAUUGAUAAACCUUCAGAGUAGAAAUACACAAAACACCCCUAUGUACAGUAACAUUCUCGUUUACAUCAGCUGGGUUAGGACUUUGAUGGAAGGAUUGCCACUGGUUGUUAUUGUUUUAGCUACGUGAUUGGGAUUUGUCUGGAAAAGAGCAAGAUCAUUUGGGAUAACUCAUUUUGGCAGCUGUUGAGUCCAUUGCUGCGUCUGAGGAGUUGGCACGACGUGGAGGAGGUGCCUGGUGUGCAGUUGUGUUGCACACCCAACCUCCACCUACAGAUGGUUGAAUCCUCUGGGCCAUGCAUGGGCAAUUCGAGUCUUUAGUCCAUCUCUGAAAAACAUGCUUCUAACUAGCUCCCUUUUUCUCCCAUUCCUGCCAAGGAAUAAAGGCAAAUUAGUCAAAAUGCAAAUCUGGCAAGCCACAAUAGCCAUAAUGCGCACAGGAUCAAUGUGAUCGUCUGGUGCCUCAGUGGUUUUGGCUGCAGGAUAUCUCUUCAUUAUA